GACGAACGCUGGCGGCGCGCUUAACACAUGCAAGUCGUGCGGUGUCGAAGGCAAGUCUUACGACAAGCCUUCGACACAGCGGCGAACGGGUGAGUAACACGUGAGUAGCUGUCCUAAGGAGGGGGAUAACGCCUGGAAACGGGUGCUAACACCCCAUAUGCCUCGCAAGAGGUGAAAGUGUACUUGCUACAGCCUUAGGGUGUGCUCGCGGCCUAUCAGCUAGUUGGUGAGGUAACGGCUCACCAAGGCCAAGACGGGUAGCCGGCCUGAGAGGGUGUACGGCCACACUGGAAUUGAGAUACGGUCCAGACUCCUACGGGAGGCAGCAGUGGGGAAUAUUGCACAAUGGGGGAAACCCUGAUGCAGCGACGCCGCGUGAGCGAAGAAGGCCUUCGGUCGUAAGCUCUGUCCUAAGGAAGAAAAGGACGGUACCGUUAGGAGGAAGCCCGGCGUAACUACGUG
rnacentral:rRNA from 1 species